AUUUCUCUUCAUAUGAAAACGGUUUCGGAGACCUUCGUGGAGAAUUCUGGCUUGAGGUCCUUACAGGAAGUAUGACCAUGGGGAGUUCACAAAAGCCUACCAAGCUGUGGUGGAGGAUAGAAUUCCAGUGAAAAGAGCUGCACAGAUGGUCACAGUGCCCAUAACCACUUUAAAAGAUCGGGUUAAGGGCAUAUUUGAAAUGGACAUUUUAAGGUCUGGGCCGCACACUUUGUCAACUCAAUAACAAGAGGCAAAUAGCCAUUUGCAAACAAUGGAUGAGGAAGGCUAUUGCUACUUAUGCCAGGUAACCAUCAAUUUGGCUUCGGAAUACGCUGUCCACUUACGUAUAAAACAGACAGCGCAAACAUAAGGAUGGACAAAUUUGUAGUUGAGCACGCCCAGAUGUAUUGAAUUAUCACGGACAAUGACCGCACAUCCGAAUAUCAACAAUUACUUAAAUAACUGAUAAAAAUAAUGAAUUAAUAUGACUUGACAAGUAAGUCUCAAUUUAUUUUUAUUAUCGAUGAUAAUGGACUGAAUAUUGAACAUAAGCCACCAAACAUUGUUUCUGAAAAAAUGUUACUUUGAUUAGAUAUGUUAGUGGUGUCAGACAUCAUACACCACCUUAUUUUGUGUUUCCGGAUUAGCGUAUUGUGAACUCCCUGCUAGCAGAAGCUAACCCUGCAGCAGCAGGCACAGUCAGUGCAAAUGGAUGUUAAAAUUCUGUUGUAUUUGACCAUAAAAUUCAUUUAUUGAAGUAUUUGCCAGUGAGAGACAGGGGUUAUAUUCGGGUUUAUAUGAUUGCCACCACAAGAGUCACGAAUCUUUGCCGUUGAUUGAAUGUGCAAAAGAGAACACAUAAUUCUG